UGAAAUGGCAAAUUGCUCAUCUGUAUUCUGAGCGCUAACUAUUCCAUAUCUGUAUGAGAUGGUGGGAAUAAUUUAAAGAGUGAGAAAUAACAAAAUAUUCAGACCCCUCUUAUUUAAGCAUUAAAAAAUAGAAGGAAAUGGAUUAGCUGCUUCCUUUCUGAUAUAGGCUGCUGGUCUAGUUUAGAGACAGUCCUAAUUUAACACUAGAAUGAGGGACAUGACAAGCAGCAGCUUGGACCAUAAAAAAAGCGGUCUAUAUAUGUACAAGUCAUUCUCAAAAAAA